GAUGAACGCUGGCGGCGUGCCUAAUACAUGCAAGUCGAGCGAACGGACGAGAAGCUUGCUUCUCUGAUGUUAGCGGCGGACGGGUGAGUAACACGUGGAUCACCUUCUUCUAAGACUGGGAUAACUUCGGGAAACAGGAGCUAAUACCGGCUGAUAUUUUGAACCGCAUGGUUCAAAAGUGAAAGACGGUCUUGCUGUCACUUAUAGAUGGAUCCGCGCUGCAUUAGCUAGUUGGUAAGGUAACGGCUUACCAAGGCAACGAUGCAUAUCCGACCUGAUAGGGUGACCGGCCACACUGGAACUGAGACACGGUCCAGACUCCUACGGGAGGCAGCAGUAGGGAAUCUUCCGCAAUGGGCGAAAGCCUGACGGAGCAACGCCGCGUGAGUGAUGAAGGUCUUCGGAUCGUAAAACUCUGUUAUUAGGAAAGAACAUAUGUGUAAGUAACUGUGCACAUCUUGACGGUACCUAAUCAGAAAGCCACGGCUAACCACGUG
rnacentral:rRNA from 1 species